rnacentral:sRNA from 1 species
UUUGCGUCAGGGAUUGAAAAGUAAAUCCUUUUCCGGUAGGAAAAGAUUGAAAUGAAAAGCCCGUCCGUAG